UCUUGACGCGUUGAAGGAGAGGUCAAAGUGGGAGCACGAAGGAAAAUCAAUCCCCUCCUCAGUUCCACCCCCAAUGGCUUCGCCGGCGGCGCCCUUCCCCGAUGCCCCGGCGGCGCCGCCUUGCUGCCCCGACGCUUCGGCGGCCCCGCCCUGCAGCCCCGACGCCUCGCCGGCCAUGGAGGCGCAGGCGAGCCCCUCCCGGACCACCUCACGGAGGACAUCCUGCUGCGCCUCACCACGGCCGCCGACCUCGCCCGCGCCUCCAUGGCCGGCCCCUCCCUCCGCCGCAUCGUCGCCGACCACUCCUUCCUCCGUCGCUUCCGCACCCUCCACCCGCCGCCUCUCCUGGGUAUACUCUCGGAUCCCUUCUUCCCAGCCCAGCCGCCCCACCCCUCCGCCGCCGCCGCGCGAACCCUCGCCGGCACCGACUUCUCCUGCUCCUUCCUCCCCUCCCGCGACCGGACCUGGGUUCGUCACGACUUCCGCGACGGCCGCGCCCUCCUCUGCGCCGCCACCGACGACCACUGCCUGGCGAGGGACGUCGCCGUCUGCGAUCCGCUGCACCGGCGCUACCUCCUGCUACCCCCCGUCCCCCAGGACCUGUCCGAUCUGGUCUAUCACUGCGAGCCCUUUCUUGCUCCUGCCGGCGGCGACCAGGAUACUGACAUUGCUGCCGAUGCUCCCUUAAGGUUCAGAGUAAUGUGUUUGGCCAAAUACCAGACCCAGCUGGUCCUAUUCGUCCUCUCUUCGUCAGGCCCUCUUGCCGAACAAUGGCGCACCGUCGCAUUUGAUGGCUGGAGCGCUCUGGUUGCAGAAGUUAGUGAAGGCGAAGAUGUGCGAUCCUCCACUGCGUUCGGAGAGCGCUACUACGCGCACGGAUGCUUCUGCUGGGCGAUACCUGGAAUCAGCAAGGUGCUCAUGCUCGACAUUGCCACGAUGGAGUUCUCCUCCGUCGACCUCCCGCCUAGUCCCUGGAGUAAUUCCCAGAUGGCCUUUGUGGAGGCAAGGGAAGGGAGGCUUGGGUUGUUUGCUCUCAGCCACAAUCUCCUCUUGUAUUCCAUUUCGGGGAGCAUUGAGGAUGACCCCCCAAGGCUGUGGCUAAUGGGGGCUGUAGUCCCGUUGCCCCUUGAUUACGCCUAUUACAUCAUUGGUGUAGCUGGGGGAUUCUUACUCCUACAUGGGUUUCAAGACGACCCGGAAUCGUACCCUUCGUCUGAAAUGCCAGAUCCGGACUGUUUUUCACUGAAUCUCCAGACUAUGAAGCUUGAGUGGUUUUGUGGGACUGAGCUCAUGAUGCCAUUGAAGAACCAACUACUGUAUGCGGGUUUCCCGCCAUCCUUGUCUCCACCAACUAUUUGAAGCGGGCUUAAUCCGCUGCGUAUUUUGGACUCACUUUGCUUCUGGCUGAUGAUUGCAAGGAAGGAUGACACACACAUCAAGCAAUUGUCUGCGUAUCGCCUCCGGUCCUUUCAUGUCCUCAAAGCCCACAUGCAUGCUAGCUACAUGUUGGUUGAUUUGGCAUGUGUGCGCAACCUGAGUGCGUUCAUAUUAGAUGGGUAGAUGGGCCGUCCACCGGCCGGCCUGCCUCGUGUAUAUUAGAGAUGGGUGCUGCAGACUGCAGUCUCUCUAGCUACUGUUAAUCCGCAUGUGUUUCUUCCAUGUAGUCUCUCUUGUUUGUUGCUGUUAUUUGGCCAUUUGUAAAUUGCUAGCGGUGCCAAGUCCUAGAGGCAGAUGAUGGGGAUCCUAAGCUUAGAGAGGCGGUGGGUUCGAAGGGGCUUCGGCCUGCGACGGCUCUUUCCUCGCGGCCUUGAUGCCUAAUGGGAGGCAGUGCUGCUACGAGAGGGAGUCUCCGGUGCUCCACCGUAGGGGUCUUGCCGGAGCAAGAGGUUUGUCCCCGGCGCUGGCGAAGAUUGGUUCCAUCAAAGAGCAGCUGGACACGGUCGUGUUUUCUGUUUACUUUCAGGGUUCUUUCCAGAACAGUUGAGUCUGUUAUUUUUCAGUUUCUUUGGGAUGCAAGAUGUACUGCCAGCAGCUUUGAUCAAUGAAGUGAUGGGUCCUUCUGGACCCUAACCCUUGUUCAAAAAAGAAUGCAUCCAUUUGUCGACGAAUUGUUUGUAACAUACAUCAUCUCCUCUUCUUAUGUUUGGCAGAUGCAGCUUUUUUUAGUAGACACAUGGAUGUAGAUGCAUCCACUUGUUUGGAUUACAACACAGCUAUAAUCUAUGAUGACAACUUAUAAUGUAUCA